ACAUGAAAAGAAAGAAGAAGGUACAGGCACUCUCCUACUCUAUCUACCCUUUGCAAUUCUUUCAUUGGACUGGGCAUAAUCCUCUUCUUUCUAUAAAUAGAGGCUACUGAUUGUCUAUUAUAGGUCAUCCCCUCACUUUUCUCUCUCCCUCUCGCUCGCUCUUUCUCUCUCUCUCCUCCUCUAAGCCAUUAUACACCUUUCCUUUUAAAGAAACUUUCUUUUUAUUAUUAUUAUUAUCAUACUAUCUUCUAAUCAAUUUUUUUUUUCAUCUGCCCAGCAAGGGAAAAAAACAAAAAAACACAAAGAAAGAAAACCAGAUUCUUUUCAUAAAUUAAAAAAAAAAGUUGAAAAACCAAUAGAAUUGGGACUUGGGGGAGAAGGAGGCCCUGGUGAUGUUGUUGACAGAAGAUAGAGAGCACAGAUGAUGAUAUGCAAUGGACUCUGCAUCCCACUCCUUUGUGCUCUCUAUGCUUCUGUCAUCACUUUCAGCCCCGACCCCCUCCUCCUCCUCCUCCUCCUCCUCCUCCUCCUCUAUUUCUUUGCUCAAUCUUCCAUGAUUUUGCUUUGUUUCAAUCUAUAUGUCAUUAAUGUUUUCUUUAGUUUGCAAGCGCAGGGCAAGUAACAUUUCAUAUAACGGAAAGGGGGGUCUUGAUAGUCGAAGUGAUUUCUCAGUAUGUAUAAGGAUCAUAUUUGUUCCCUGGCUAUAUAUAACCAAAAUAGCCAACUACCAGUGAUUGAUAGACCGUAUAAGAGGUAUUGUUCUUUUCAUUUCUCUCUCUUUUUUUCUUCUUUUCUUUUUUCAUGUAUCAUAUUAGCUCUUCAAAAAGAAUAAACUAAUGUUUUGAUUUAAAUUCCCAAAGUAUAAUUAAUUGCAAACUUCUUAAACUGUCACACUAAAAGGGAUUAGCUAGCUAGUUGGGACAAGUGCACUCAGCCUCUUUUCUGUUACUACAUGUUUUUUAGAAUAGAACUAAAGUGAUGAUUCCUAUCCUAAAUUACGGACAUAUGCUCAGUAGGUACCAAGUACAUGCUUUGUGAGAGAAGGGCCAUCCAAAUUAUUGGUGUUUUAGAUAUUUGUGGUAUAUUAUUUGUGUGUUUUUCCGUGAAGGAGUGUGUAAAGCUGAGCAAAGGAUAUUAGUUCCAGGCACAAAACAGGACGAAUAGGGCUGAAGUUCUCGAGAAUCCCACAAGAUGAUUAUAGAAGAAGAAGAAGAAGAAGAAGAAGAAUCAAGGGGAAAGAUCAGAGAGACUACUGCUUAACUCUUCACAUAAGUCUAUGCCGACACCAGCAGUUGUAUGUCUCAUGUUUGCUUGUUUCUUCCUGACGAUAAGCUUUUUUUAAGAUUAUUGAUUAUAAACUGGUCGCAAAACCAAAAUUGAAAAGAAAAAGAAAAAGAUUUUGUUACA